UACGUAGGGUGCAAGCGUUGUCCGGAAUUAUUGGGCGUAAAGAGCUCGUAGGCGGUCUGUUGCGUCGGCUGUGAAAACCCGCGGCUCAACCGUGUGGUCUGCAGUCGAUACGGGCAGGCUAGAGUUCGGUAGGGGAGACUGGAAUUCCUGGUGUAGCGGUGAAAUGCGCAGAUAUCAGGAAGAACACCCGUGGCGAAGGCGGCUCUCUGGGACGGUACUGACGCUGAGGUGCGAAAGCGUGGGGAGCAAACAGG
rnacentral:rRNA from 1 species